GACGAACGCUGGCGGCGUGCUUAACACAUGCAAGUCGAACGGUAAGGCCUUGUUUGCGGGGUACUCGGGUGGGGAACGGACGGGUAAGUAGUGGGUGAGUAGCCCGCCAUUUCGGGUUAGGUCAGCGUGACUGGCUGUAUCUAAGGCUAUGUCCUUCCAUCCACUGCGUGGGGGGGUGUGGUUUACUGGUGUGGGAUGAGCGCGCGGCCUAUCAGCUUGUUGGUGGGGUAAUGGCCUACCAAGGCGACGACGGGUAGCCGGCCUGAGAGGGUGGACGGCCACAUUGGGACUGAGACACGGCCCAGACUCCUACGGGAGGCAGCAGUGGGGAAUAUUGCACAAUGGGCGGAAGCCUGAUGCAGCGACGCCGCGUGGGGGAUGACGGCCUUCGGGUUGUAAACCUCUUUCGGCAGGGACGAAGCGUGAGUGACGGUACCUGUAGAAGAAGCACCGGCUAACUACGUG
rnacentral:rRNA from 1 species